GCAUACAAUGCUGCAACAGAACCCUGUCCAUUAAAUAAAUACAUUUAGUGAACAUUGCACUAGAAAUUUGCAUGAUGAGCAAGUAAAACUACUCCAAAAUAUGGAUUAAUGAUGUAGACUAUAUGCAAAUAAGAUCCAAUUCCAAUCUAUUUUUAGUUACUUAAAAAACAGAUCUCCCAGGAGAAGAAUCUAAAAUUGAUAUAAGCACAUAUCUAGACCAUACAGAGAAGAACUCAUUUGAAAUAAAAAGAACUACCCAUAUCCCUUCUUUUUUCUCUAUCAUUUGAACAGAACUUCCAGAAAAACAUGUUUCCACUGUUUUACGUGCAUGAUACAUCAUAGAAGACUGCUAAUCAUAGUGCUAAACUUAACAGUGUCCUGAUUCUUACAA
rnacentral:misc_RNA from 1 species